CUACACAAUGCCACUAAGGACUAGGAUGGCACAUCAAAGGGAACAUGUUUACUAAAUUUCAAGUGGAUUGGACUUCAACUUCAUCAAAAACUUCCUUGACCAAAAACUUUGACCUGAAGCGGAACGAACGAACAGACGGACGAACGACCGAACGGACCCUCAGACCAGAAAACAUCAUUCCCCUCUACUAUCGUACAUGGGGCAUGUUUUUAGAUUCAUAGACAACAUAGAUCAGACAAACUAAAGAAACAAUUAACGUAAACUGAAAGGGAA
rnacentral:lncRNA from 1 species